GCCGCGCGGUGAAGCAGCGUUGGGCAACGAUUAACAGUCUGAUUCGUCAGUAGGAGGAUCAGAUGCUUUGGGACCCAGGUGACCGCAGAUCAUACCAGGCAAGAUCAAAAAGGACACAUAACUGGAGAUUUUGCUCCGGACUGACACAAUCCCAUAGGCUCUACAUUCUUUUUAAACUCCAUUAACUGUUAAAUUCCUGAAGUUGCAAAGGACAAAAUGAAUUUCAUUAAAGGCUACUUAUCUCUCUCCAGAGAAAUGGUAAAAGUCCAAGGAAAUGAGCUAAGAAGAUUACAAAUGAUAUCUUUCUAAAAAGAUAUUUUUAAAGAACUUCUAACAUGCAGCUUCUUUUGUUCAUUCACCUACCAAAAAUGUAAUUAUAGAAAAUAAAUAUCUGACUUCAAUUAAAAUGAAUGAUUCGACUUUUGAAGAACAAAAAUGUGUGUCUUUCAUGGAUUUUAACAUUGAACCAAACUGAAAUAAACAGAUGAAUGCUAUUUUAACAAAA